AAGUCUGAAUGCCCUCGGGGACCUCUGUCUGUGAGGGCUCAGAUAACCACUGCCCUGAAAGGGACUGAUGGGGUCUGGGGCUUUUCGGGGUGGAUCCCGGGAACCCACUGUCUAUUGGAAGCCUGGAGCCUCAGGUAACUCUGGAAAACUCAGGCAAUCAAGGAACUGGAGGCUAUCCAGGGAAGACUGACCAUUAGGUUUCACUCAUAUGCCAAGAUCAAAGGAAUUCCAACAUCUGUUGCCUGCCUGCCUGUAGAACCAUGCCGUGGGCCGUAUCAACCAACCCUUGGGUAGACUCUAACUGCCGUACCCCCCACACUGUCCCUUAUCAGCUUGAAGAAGCCAGAACAGUCAUCAUCCCUGUU